AGGACGAGCGCUGGCGGCGUGCUUAACACAUGCAAGUCGAACGAGGUGCUUGCACCUAGUGGCGAACGGGUGAGUAACACGUGAGCAACCUGCCCUUGGCUCUGGGAUAGCCUCCGGAAACGGGGAUUAAUACCGGACAUGACCUUGGUCUGCAUGGACUGAGGUGGAAAGUUUUUCGGCCAGGGAUGGGCUCGCGGCCUAUCAGCUUGUUGGGGGGUAACGGCCCACCAAGGCGACGACGGGUA
rnacentral:rRNA from 1 species